rnacentral:rRNA from 1 species
UACGGAGGAUCCAAGCGUUGUCCGGAUUUAUUGGGUUAAAGGGUGCGUAGGCGGCCUGCUAAGUCACACGUGAAAUCCCUCGGCUCAACCGGGGAACUGCGUGUGAUACUGGAUGGCUUGAGUUCGGGAGAGGGAUGCGGAAUUCCAGGUGUAGCGGUGAAAUGCGUAGAUAUCUGGAGGAACACCGGUGGCGAAGGCGGCAUCCUGGACCGACACUGACGCUGAGGAGCGAAAGCCAGGGGAGCAAACGGG